CAUUCUGCUCUUGGUGGACAUUUAGUUUAUUAGAUAUGCUUUUAUUGAAGGAGGAAAGGAGGACAGAAGAGGCACCAUUAAUAAGCAUUCUUGCUAUAGCAUUCUUCUGCUUGCUUGCAUGCAUCCACGAGAUAUGCAGGUGACUCAGGUAGGUGCCCAGAAGUGAAAUUACUAGGCCAUUGGGAAUGACUCAAUGCCAAAUUAUUAUUAUUAUUAUUAUUAUUUUGCUUUUUAGGGCCCCACCUGUGGCAUAUAGAAGUUUCCAGGCUAGGGGGGUCCAGUCAGAGCUACAGCUGCCAGCCACAGCCACAGCCAUGCAGGAUCCGAGCUUCGUCUGAGACCUACACCACAGCUCACGGUAAUGCCAGAUCCUUAACGCACUGGGCGAGGCCAGGGAUCGAACCCAUAACCUCAUUGUUCCUAGUCGGAUUUGUUUCUACUGCGCCACAACGGAAACUCCAGUUUUGUCUUUUUAAAUUGAUUUGCAGGAGUUCUUUAUAGAGUUUUAGUCCUUUGUGUGUAAUACAUUUUGCAAAUAUUUUCCCCCUAAUUUAAUGUCUCACCACAACACUGUAUCUUUUGACAAACAGAAGAUCUUAAUUUUUUUAAAUUUUAUUUUCAUGGCCGCACCCACAGUAUAUGGAAGUUCCCAGGCCAGGGAUUGUAUCCAAGCCACAGCUGUGACCUACAUCACAGCUGCAGCAACUUCAGAUACUUAAAACCACUGUGCCAGGCCGGGGAGCGAACAUGUACCUCUGCAGCAACUUGAGGCACUGCAAUUGGAUUCUUAACCCGGAGUGCUACAGUGGGAACUCCCAAUCUUAAUUUUAUUUAUUUAUUUAUUUAUUGUCUUUUUGCCUUUUCUAGGGCCGCAACCGUGGCAUAUGGAGGUUCCCAGGCUAAGGGUCGAAUCAGAGCUGCAGCCACCAGCCUAUGCCAGAGCCACAGCAAUGCCAGAUCCAAGCCGUGUCUUUGACCCACACCGCAGCUCAUGGCAGUGCCAGAUCUUUAACCCACUGAGCAAGGCCAGGGAUCGUUUCUAGUUGGAUUCGUUAACCACUGUGCCAUGGCAGGAACUCUCCAAUCUUAAUUUUAAUAUAGGUGAAUUUAUGAAUCAUCGUUUUAUAGUUGGUGGGAAGAACACUACUUGAAGUCAAGUAUUCUAUUUUGUCUUCUAAAAGUUGUAAAGUUUUGCCUUUCAAGUGUAUGGUUUUUGCAUAUAGGGUGAGGAGUCAUGCAGCCUCUGACUCCCUUUUGGGCUUUGUGACCUCCUAUAAAUGAUUUCUUCCACAUCAAUGUCCUUGACUGCAAAAAUGAGACCCUGAUCCCUACUGUGUGUAAAGUUCUCGUGAGGUUAGAAUACAGCAUCCCAGCACACUGAGCCCCAAAUCUCAGUAGCUAUUCAGUAAUUGCUCCUUGGUCUAAGUCCAACUGCAUUCCCUAAGCAUGUGGACACUCAAGGAAAGUUGGCAAUUAACUGGGGAAGUUGUUGCUAGUACACAGCCUGCCAACUGCUACAACCAUCGCCAGGCUGGGUCUGAAUGCUCAGCAAAUCCCCCCACAGGGCACUGGCAGCUUGGAGAAUGUUCAUCCCUGUGCAGACUUGCCUGCUGCAGGCAGGUGCUCAGUCUUAGAGCUGAUUAGUGCAAAUCUGAUUCAUUGUAGAAAUGACUGCUUCCUAACUCCCUGGUACAGUCACAAAGUGGAGUCUGGACAUUCUAACCAGGAGCUUUGGACCUUGAAAGGAGCUUGCUUAGUUUCUGCCAAUGACAACAUGUGCACACACGUUGUGCAUUCCUGUGAGCAAACAGGAGGCUUGGGAUCUGUUUUUGUUGUUGUUGUUGUUUUUCAUUUGGCCACCUCGAGGUAUUUGGAGUUCCUGGGGCAGGAUCAGAGCCGAGCUGCAGUUGUGACCUAUGCUGCAGGUGCGGCAGUGCUGGAUCCUUAACCCACUGUGCAGGGCUGGGGAUCAAACCUUUGUCCCAGCACUUCCAGGAUUGCUGCAGAUCCUGUUGCACCACAGCAGGAACUAAUGGUUGGUUUUUUUGUUUUUGUUUUUGUCACAACCUUGACUCAUGGGGAGAUAGAAGGGCUGGGAUUGUGUGGUGUACAAUUAGAGAUGUCUGUGAUCAGAGAGGCCUUGCGUUUCCCUCUGGAGAAAAGUAAUGACCACAAAGCAUGGGCGGGCAUUUCUUAGUGUGUUCUGGGAGGUCAGAUGUCAGAAAGGAGACCAAAGGGCAUCAACUUCAAGCCUUGUUCAUGGAGUCUCUUGCAGUGGCUAUUGCACUCUCUUGAGCCUUUUUCAGUUGCACUUCCCAUUGUUCCUGCUUGCCAUUUUGAUCAGGAGCUUCCUUAUACAUGUUUUAUGGAGGGGACCACCGAGUUGGGCAGGCCAUCAAACAUUUGUUGAUCCUUUUCAACCCUGUAAUGUCCACACUUGAAAAACUGGAGACGUCCCAAUGAAAAACAGCUGGGUAGUGGUUUGUAAGCUUUGGUCUUUUGUGGUGGGUAGUGGCUGCCAUAUCACAGUUAAAGGUGACAGAUAGAAUCAAUACACAUGUCCCAUCCACACCAGAACACAGUAGGAAGGGAAUAUUGAUUGUAAAUAAUCCUGUGGGCUUACACAUGUGAAAAUAGAUGUUGUGAUGCAGGGUGACCUUUCCCUACUUGUGUAACUUUGUUAUCUUUUAUUGUGAUGACAGCUAAAUGUUUUAAUCAGGAGCGCUCAGUCAACAGGCAAAGUUGAUUUGUUUGUUGCUGCUUGCUCCCUCUAAACCAGAAGUGUUCUGUUUCCAGUAAAGUUGUUUGUCUCUCCAGCACUCGUUGCCUAGGAGUCCCCCUCCCAACCCUAUAGGAGCAAAGAUUUACUAGUCAAGAUUUAACCCAAACUGUAAAAUUGGGCCAAGGUCCUCUAGGAAAUAUUAAGUAUGAAAAAUUAUUCUACACAGUAGCUUUGUUUGAUCAGGGUAAGUUAAUUUUCUCAAAAGAUUAAUGAUAGAGCUCCAUGGUGGGUUAAGAAGGGUUAAGGAUCUGGCGCUGGCGCUGCCAUGGCUUGAGAUGCUUCUGUGGUGUGGAUCCAAUCCCUGGCCCUGGAACUUCUAUAUGCGUGGAUGCAGAAAAAAAAAAAAUACACACACACACACGAACUGUCUUGUACAUUAAACACUCUUAAAGAGCUGAGUAUCAUUUUUCCUCCUCCUCUGAGGUGGAAGUAGCCCCACUUCCCAACUGAUGUGAGUGCAGGAAAUGUGGUUGUACAGCCCACAAAAAUUUUUUAUAACUGCUUUAAGGUUGUUACUCUUGCUACUUUACUGUCUUAAAUGUAAACCACAAGUCAUAGAACCCAUUCUUUAUCUUGAACUUGAGCUUUCCUUUCAGAAAAGCACUUUAUAAACGCUUAGUUGUUCAGCAGUUUUCCAAUAGCUACUCUCCUCUUGCAGCAGUUCCCAGCCUACACAAGGUGGAUGGAUCAUUUCAGAAUGUCUUCCCCAAUACCCCACCCCCCAAAUAGCUGUGAUUGAACAACAUUGGGCACUACACAUAUGGCAGGCACUAUUUGUAAGCCUGCUGAUCAUUGGGACAAUCCUGAGGAUGAGCUUUGUUAACCACUCUUGUUUCACAAAUGAGGAAUCACUAGUCAAAUGAUGAUAUCUGUUGCUAAAAGUCUCCCAGGUUAAUUCUGGAGGUUGGAGUUCAGAUCGGGUUGGUUUUGUUCUUUGCCUGUAGGUCUGUUUCCACCCUCCCUGCCCAGCAGCAGUCUGAAGUAGGUGGACCCCAGACGUGGGUUAUUUGUUUUUACAUGUUCUUAGAUGCCAUGAAAUUCACUCUGACAUAUGUACCACUGCAGUCAUGAUACAGAGUAUUUCCAACACCCUCCCCACAUUCCCUUUGUGCCACUUUGUAGUCAGCCCCUUCUGCUACCUCUACAUCUGUCUAUAUUGGGAGUUCUGCCUGAGGCUAGGGCAUCUAUUGCUGGGGAAUCAGAGUAAACUGCUUCUUAGCUAGGAUUGGCCAUAGCUUGGAUGUCCCAGGCACUAUUCUCCUGUCCCUUUAUCUCAUCCCCUAACCCCACCAGGGGACUGAGUUGGUUACUAUGCCUAUGAAGCAGGUAUAAUUGUGAAAGAAUUGUGUGACUGUGAAAGAAUUCUCUAAGGGGAGGAUUCUUUUUUGAAUGGGGGGAGGGAUGCUAUGCCCGUUCAUGCAUAAAUAUGAUCACCUUCUAAUAAAACAUUGGGUCCUUCUGUGAGAUGGUCACAUGGUCAUAAGUAAGUAAUGUCAGGCCAGAGCCUCAGGCAUUUGGGUGGGCAGCCAUGGUAGCUGAGUGUAUUUGCUCCACAAGUGUCUGCAUCUAUAAAUGUUUGUGAUGACCUGUAAGGGAUGGCUCUGUACCAACGGAAGAGGGCUGUUGCUACAGUGCCUGGGGCAUGACCCAUGAAGGUGACAUGGUGUGUCAGCAGUAACCUAGAUUCUGGAAUCCUAGGAAAUGGCCUCAACUGCCUAGGGAGCUCUCAGUGUGGGACGUCUUUUAUUUCUCUAGGCCUUGGGUAGGAUUGGAUUUUGUAUUUUACUAGAAUGGAUGAUUCUGUGUUCUUUUUAAUAAGCUGGUUUUCUGGUUGUAGAAAAUAGAUUGUUAUGAUUUUUGUUUAGCUUGCAAGUGUUAGGGAAGCUGUAGAGAAGUAAAAUUUCUUCCCUUUUUCAGGGGUAGACUGAGGGGAGAAAUGAUGUGACCACAAGCUUUUACAUUAAGAAUGCAAGGGAAUUAGUAGAUGCAAACUAUUGCAUUUGGGCUACCAUGGCUGCCCACCCAAAUGCCUCUAUAACACAGGGAACUAUAUCUAGUCACUUGUGCUGGAACAUGAUGGAGGAUGAUGUGAGAAAAAGUAUAUAUUAUAUAUAUAUGACUGUGUCACAGUAGAAAAUGACAAAACACUGUAAAUCAACUACAAUGGAAAAAAUAAAAA
rnacentral:lncRNA from 1 species